UACAUGGGGUGCAAACGUUGCUCGGAAUCAUUGGGCGUAAAGCGCGCGUAGGCGGUUACUUAAGUUGGAUGUGAAAGCCCUCGGCUUAACUGAGGAAGUGCAUCCAAAACUGAGUAGCUAGAGUACGAAAGAGGGUCGCGGAAUUCCCGGUGUAGAGGUGAAAUUCGUAGAUAUCCAGAGGAAUACCAGUGGCGAAGGCGGCGAUCUGGGAAGAUACUGACGCUGAGGUGCGAAAGCGUGGGGAGCAAACAGG
rnacentral:rRNA from 1 species